UACAGCCAUAAAAAUGUUAAAGCACCAGUUCCUGUAUGACCACUGAAGUUAAGUAAUGUCAAGCCUGGUCAGUACCUAGAUGGGUGACAAUUUGGGAAUACCAGGAGCAGUA